CUCCGCAUGUCUCUACAUUUUGAUGAGUGACAUCUGAGGAUUUUUCUCCAUAUAGUGGACUUCAAUGGGAGCCAGUGGGUUGAAGGUCCAAAGUGCAGUUUAAAUGCAGCUUCAAAGGGCUCUACACGAUCCCAGCCGAGGAAUACAGUGACGGUUUCAGAGAGGCUGAUUUCCCGAGGGAGUCGCUCAGACAGACACACCUACCAGCAUCUACCCGACCCUUGAGACAAAAACGACAAACUACAAGAUUGAAAGUGACAUGACCCUGCAGAGAACUAACUAGGUUUUAAUUUCACUGGCUCUGAGUGAACAAGGAGAUGAAUAAAAAAGAGGCUGUUUUUGGUCAGCGGCGGUGGUAGGGGAGGGCUGUAGGGCCCGUCAGCCUGCCUGGAGUGGACUAGAAGAGGGCUGCUCACCCAGCCAGCUGGACUGGAUCCGUCAAUGGUUUACAGAGCCGCUACAGUACAGGGCAGAGGUAUGCUACCUCCACAAACCUGGAAAAAAACAUGGCCGCCAGGAGAAACUGUGCGAUGAAAGGAUGAUUUAUGCAGCACAAAUAUGCCAUGCGUACGGUCUGCUGGCAAAUGAGCGGGCAGGCUGUUUCUGGCUGGUGGAGUUGUGCUGGGAAGGGUACGUGCUGCCGGUGUAGAGGGCAAGAGGCGGAGGGAUGUUUUAACAGUCUUAUGUAAACCAAAUGGGGUGGGGGCGGCCAUCUUGUGUUUAUCACAUGUCAGAAAAAAAGCAAGGCCAGGGCACCUCUGGGAGCUCUGUGCUGUUUGAAAAUGGCAUUCUAACACAGGAUUAAUAAACAGAGCGACCCAUUGGACGGCACAGGCUCUCAAUAUGUGCUGCACUUUAGCAGGAGGAGACCUUGCUCUGUUUAUGACUUCUUCAGGAAAAAGAGCGUAGCCUAUAUGUGCUGCGUGUUACUGCUUGAUGCUGCCUUAUUGAAGCACCUGGACUUUUAAAUUCAUUUCACUUGAUCGGGUUUCUGGCGAGACUCUUUCAUUGCAGAAGAACAUGUGAUGAAACAAUGAAGUGCCUGUGAUAUGCUACUGUAAGGGUAAAUAUCAUGCCUUGAACCCUGACAGCUGCAGAAGCCAAGUUGAAUCAAAGGUCUGAAGGAAACAGCUGCUCCAAAUAUUUUUCAACUGUGGAGGGGGUUGUAGAGAAGAACGUAUCUCAAUUAUAUCUCAAACCCCAUUG